rnacentral:rRNA from 1 species
GACGAACCGUGCGAACGUUAUUCGGAAUCACUGGGCUUAAAGGGCGCGUAGGCGGGCUGUCAAGUCUGGGGUGAAAUCCCGCGGCUCAACCGUGGAACUGCCUCAGAUACUGACGGCCUCGAGGAAGGUAGGGGCAUGCGGAACUGUAGGUGGAGCGGUGAAAUGCGUUGAUAUCUACAGGAACUCCGGUGGCGAAAGCGGCGUGCUGGACCUUUUCUGACGCUGAGGCGCGAAGGCGUGGGGAGCGAACGGG